CCUACGGGAGGCAGCAGUAGGGAAUUUUCCACAAUGGGCGAAAGCCUGAUGGAGCAACGCCGCGUGGGUGAAGAAGGUCUUCGGAUCGUAAAACCCUGUUGUUAGAGAAGAAAGUGCGUGAGAGUAACUGUUCACGUUUCGACGGUAUCUAACCAGACAGCCACGGCUAACUACGUGCCAGCAGCCGCGGUAAUACGUAGGUGGCAAGCGUUAUCCGGAUUUAGUGGGCGUAAAGGGAACGCAGGCGGUCUUUUAAGUCUGAUGUGACAGCCUUCGGCUUAACCGGAGUAGUGCAUUGGAAACGGGGAGACUGGAGUGCAGAAGAGGAGAGUGGACCUCAAUGUGUAGCGGUGAAAUGCGUAGAGAUAUGGAAGAACACCAGUGGCGAAAGCGGCUC
rnacentral:rRNA from 1 species